CUGACAAUCACCAUGACUACAGCUCUUGUGGUGGUCUGUGUCUGGAGACUGGGGGUCCCAGGGGGAGGUUCUGUGUCAUGUCCCACGGUCAGGACUGGUACCGGAUUAGAACUGUUGGGAGCUGUCCUCCCUCUCCUCUGGAUCGCCACGGCAUCCGGCUUCUCAACCAACUUCGUUCAACAGUCGCCACGGGAACUCGUUGUGAAGCUAGGAGAUGCCAUCAACCUCACCUGCAGCCACCAUGAUAAAAAAUACGAUCGGAUUUACUGGUACAGGCAGGGGUCUGGGCAGGGGCUUCAGCUCCUGGGCUUCCUGACCUUCAAGCAGAUGUUUCUAGAAAGUAUGUUCCAGAACACAGAAGACGCUCCAGAACCCUUCACCAUGUCAGGUGACGCUGAGGCCGAGGGCUUCCUGGAGGCGUCUGCAGUGAGAGCUGAGGACAGGGCCGUGUACUACUGUGCUGUGGGUAGAGCACGGUGA